CUGCACGAUGCACACCCCGGGCUUCUCCGAGGUUGAACCGCUGACGAUGGCAAAGCCCCAAUGCUCGUGCUAGAUCGAGGCGCCGUUCGUGUUGCAGUCUAGCUUGACGUAGCUUGAUCUGUGUCAAUUCAAGCGGCUACAUCU